rnacentral:rRNA from 1 species
UUAACCCCGGAUCUGCGGUGGGUACGGGCAGACUAGAGUGCAGUAGGGGAGACUGGAAUUCCUGGUGUAGCGGUGGAAUGCGCAGAUAUCAGGAGGAACACCGAUGGCGAAGGCAGGUCUCUGGGCUGUAACUGACGCUGAGGAGCGAAAGCAUGGGGAGCGAACAGGAUGAGAUACCCUGGUAGUCCAUGCCGUAAACGUUGGGCACUAGGUGUGGGGACCAUUCCACGGUUUCCGCGCCGCAGCUAACGCAUUAAGUGCCCCGCCUGG